CGAUGCAACGCGAAGAACCUUACCGUGGCUUGACAGUCCGGAAUCCUUAGGAACAAGGAGUGCCCUCGGGAACCUGGAGACAGGUGCUGCAUGGCUGUCGUCAGCUCGUGUCGUGAGAUGUUGGGUUAAGUCCCGCAACGAGCGCAACCCUCGCCUUUAGUUGCCAGCAUUCAGUUGGGCACCCUAGAGGGACUGCCGGUGUCAAACCGGAGGAAGGUGGGAUGACGUCAAGUCCUCAUGGCCUUUAUGUCUAGGGCUACACACGUACUACAAUGGCCGGUACAAAGGGCAGCCACUCAGCGAUGAGGCGCUAAUCCCAUAAAGCCGGUCUCAGUCCGGAUCGCAGUCUGCAACUCGACUGCGUGAAGUUGGAAUCGCUAGUAAUCGUAGAUCAGCAUGCUACGGUGAAUACGUUCCCGGGCCUU
rnacentral:rRNA from 1 species